GAUACCCCUGGCUGGAGAGAAUUCUUUUCUGCUAUUCUUGAACAGUGGCUGAAGCCUGGCACGGCAGAAGGACACCGUUAAUCUGAGUUUCAGCCCAUUUUGAAGUUGACAAGCACAGAGACUUUCAUCCAACGAUUGCCAAACUGACUUUCAGUUACCAGAAAAAUACGUUCCCAGAUCUACCUAUGUACUUCAGUGACUCUUACUAGAUUUGAUGUAGGAUGUGCUUUUGUUUUCCCCUACAGGUUACAGUCAUUUUUUUUCUGUUUAGAAUUGAAGUGGUGACCCGUAAUUAAGUGCUAAACAAUAAAGGAUUAUUUUUGUUAG